CAGCAGUAGCCGCGGUAAUACGUAGGUGGCGAGCGUUGUCCGGAUUUAUUGGGCGUAAAGGGAGUGUAGGCGGUCUUUUAAGUCUGAUGUGAAAGCCCACGGCUCAACCGUGGAGGGUCAUUGGAAACUGGGAGACUUGAGUGCAGAAGAGGAGAGCGGAAUUCCAUGUGUAGCGGUGAAAUGCGUAGAGAUGUGGAGGAACACCAGUGGCGAAGGCGACUCUCUGGUCUGUAACUGACGCUGAGGAGCGAAAGCGUGGGGAGCGAACAGGAUUAGAUACCCCGGUAGUCCCUGUCUCUUAUAC
rnacentral:rRNA from 1 species